rnacentral:rRNA from 1 species
UACGUAGGGGGGCUAGCGUUUGUCCGGAAUCAUUGGGCGUAAAGAGCGCGUAGGCGGCUAGAUAAGUCCGGUGUGAAAGUCACAGGCUCAACCUGUGAAUGCCGCUGGAAACUGUCUGGCUAGAGUCCGGAAGGGGCGAGUGGAAUUCCUGGUGUAGCGGUGAAAUGCGCAGAUAUCAGGAGGAACACCAAUGGCGAAGGCAGCUCGCUGGGACGGUACUGACGCUGAGGCGCGAAAGCGUGGGGGAGCAAACAGG